rnacentral:tRNA from 1 species
ACCUCGGUAGCUCAACCGGCAGAGCAGGUGGCUGUUAACCACAAGGUUAGAGGUUCGAGUCCUCUCCGGGGUG